rnacentral:lncRNA from 1 species
AGCAACCAACUCGGUGGAAGUGCUCUACGGAGGUCUCCCACCUGUGGAAGAAAGUGACAGAAAGAUUACCCUGAUUAUGGAGCUGUCCACCCAACUUUCCCUUCAGACUGAGAAGAUCACUCAGCUCGAAGACGUCUUAGCGGAAAAGGAAAAGAAGAUCGAGGAGCUGGAGGCUGAGCGAAGUUCCCAGUUUCCCCAGGAUGAAGAUAGACUUACGGAAGAUUUACAAGAAUCCCCCAGGGUAUACGAUGAGGACAGGAAGGCUCUCGUGGCCUCUGAUGAGGAGCAUGAUGAUUUCCCAUGUGACAAUAAAGUUUAGUAAGUGUCAUCAAGGUGGAGUCCAAAACCCC